UACUAUAUUAAAAGGUAUAUAUGAGCUCCAUUGAGCCUGUCCACGUCAGACAAUAAAAUCAGCCAAUAGGAAAACAGUUCUCCGCCACGUCAGAUGCUCACUUCUGUCAUUUGGGCUUCCCGUUUCACCGGCCCGUUAAUGUUCGACGAAGACAGGUCCGAAGGACUCAACAGCUUCCGAGAAAUCAACCGGUACUACUACAAACCAGACUCCAGCCGAUGUAGACGCGAUACUGAUCUAGUGCGGAAGACUAAGCCAGAGCAACUCCGCCGCGGCGGCGAAAACCAAGAGGUAUUCUGUAUCCAAGAGGAGCUUCGACUUCGACAAGAACGGCGACACAGACAAAGCCGAUGCGGAAGACGGAGGAGAGGAAGAAGAAGCCGAGCGGCGGAUUCAUCAGCAGCAGCGCGGCGGCGGAGAGUCCCGUCGGACUCUGAGCAAUGUCGGGAGCAGAAGAGACGGCUCCUAGCAGGGAGAGGGAGGACUCGAAGAGCUACCGAUCGGGGAGUAGGGAGAGAGGAAGCGGUAGCAGACGAGGAAGCAGAUCUCCAGAGAGAAGAUCGGAGACGACGAACCCUAAUAACGGCAUUGGCAGUUCUGUAAAUUCGAGUAACAACAACAAUAUACCUGCCAAGUUCGUUUCGGUUCCUGCAACGGAUAAAGAGAAGAGAAGCAGCAACAGCAACGCAGAUGCGUCUAUUAAAAGGGUUGUUGUCAAGAGAAACGUGGCGUCUCCAAGGUCUCAGUCGCCUGCAAGAGCGGCGUCUCCUAGAGCUCAGUCUCCGGCCAGAGUUAUCAACCACUCCUAAAGAAAUCUGCAAAAGUGUCGCCUACACGUGUUCGAACCUGAAGGUGUGGUCCAUAAAAGAGAUUUAGAUAAGUUUUGCAAAGCUCUCAUCUUUUUUAAUUGAGCAGUGAAUCUGGCAUUGUUGUAAUCUUCUUACUCUGAUUCUAUUGAAAACCAUUUCUUAUA